AGGAAUUAAAAGUACUUUUAUACCUACUUUCCCCCAAUAUUCUUUGAAGAGGGAAGGUAUGCGUUUCUAUGAAAGACCUUAGGUAUUUCAAAUUCUUCGCGAGUUAGUUCAAGUGUGUAAAAUGGAAGACGGGGCCAGGCGCGGUGGUUCACGCCUGUAAUCCCAGCAGUUUGGGAGGCCCAGGCAGGUAAAUGGCUUGAGGCCAGGAGUUUGAGAUCAGCCUGGGCAACAUGGCGAAACUUCAUCUCUACAAAAAACACAAGUUAGGUGGGCGUGGUGGCUCAUGCCUGUAAUCCCAGCUACUUGGGAGGUUGAGGUGGGAGGAUUGCUUGAGCCCAGGAGGCUGAGGCUGCAGUGAGCCUUGAUCAUGCCACUACAUUCCAGCCUGGGCGACAGAGUGAGACUCAAAAAUCCAGUUACAACACAGGGAUCACAACAAACACAACCGCCACAGAAGCACUAUGGCAUUACUUCUCCUAUCAGCUUAGCAGCCCCCAAGGAGACUGACUGCGUACUUACACAGAAACUAAUUGAGACAUUGAAACCCUUUGGGGUUUUUGAAGAGGAAGAGGAACUGCAGCGCAGGAUUUUAAUUUUGGGAAAACUAAAUAACCUGGUAAAAGAGUGGAUACGAGAAAUCAGUGAAAGCAAG
rnacentral:sRNA from 1 species